AGUCGAACGGGAUCAUUCAGGAGUUUACUUCAGAAUGUGAGAGUGGCGGACGAGCGAGUAACACGUAAGUAUCUGCCCCGUACUCAGGGAUAACCGGCCGAAAGGUCGGCUAAUACCGGAUAGUCUCGAAAGAGUAAAGCUUUCGCGGUACGGGAGGAGCUUGCGGCUUAUCAGUUUGUUGGUGGGGUAAUGGCCUACCAAGACUAUGACGAGUAACUGGUGUGAGAGCAUGACCAGUCGCGAUGGGACUGAGACACGGCCCAUACUCCUACGGGAGGCAGCAGUGAGGAAUCUUCCGCAAUGGACGAAAGUCUGACGGAGCGACACCGCGUGGUGGAUGACACCCUUAGGGGCGUAAACACCUUUUAUGAGGGAAGAAAAUCUGACGGUACCUCAUGAAUAAGGAUCGGCUAAUUACGUGCCAGCAGCCGCGGUAAUACGUAAGAUCCAAGCGUUAUCCGGAAUUAUUGGGCGUAAAGCGUCCGCAGGCGGUUUGUUAAGUUGGUUAUGAAAUACCGGAGCUCAACUUCGGUGCUGUAAUCAAAACUGGCAAACUAGAGAAAUAGAGAGGUGUGUGGAAUUCUACAAGUAGGGGUAAAAUCCGUAGAUAUGUAGAGGAACACCAAAAGCGAAGGCAGCACACUGGCUAUUUUCUGACGCUCAUGGACGAAAGCGUGGGGAGCGAAAGGGAUUAGAUACCCCUGUAGUCCACGCCGUAAACGAUGUAUGCUCGGUGUUAGUUCCCUAGACCUGGAAUUAGUGCCUAAGAUAACUCGAUAAGCAUACCGCCUGUGUAGUACGAUCGCAAGAUUAAAACACAAAGGAAUAGACGGGGACCCACACAAGCGGUGGAUCGCGGGGUUUAAUUCGUCAAUAAGCGGGUAACCUUACCUGGGCUUGACAUCUCUAUCG
rnacentral:rRNA from 1 species